rnacentral:rRNA from 1 species
AACGCGAAGAACCUUACCUACUCUUGACAUCCAGAGAACUUUCCAGAGAUGGAUUGGUGCCUUCGGGAACUCUGAGACAGGUGCUGCAUGGCUGUCGUCAGCUCGUGUUGUGAAAUGUUGGGUUAAGUCCCGCAACGAGCGCAACCCUUAUCCUUUGUUGCCAGCGGUUCGGCCGGGAACUCAAAGGAGACUGCCAGUGAUAAACUGGAGGAAGGUGGGGAUGACGUCAAGUCAUCAUGGCCCUUACGAGUAGGGCUACACACGUGCUACAAUGGCAUAUACAAAGAGAAGCGACCUCGCGAGAGCAAGCGGACCUCAUAAAG